rnacentral:rRNA from 1 species
UCUGUAGGUGGCUUCAAAAGUCUCCUGUCAAAGAUCAGGGCUUAACCCUGGGCCGGCAGGAGAAGCUCUGAGGCUAGAGUUUGGUAGGGGCAGAGGGAAUUCCCGGUGGAGCGGUGAAAUGCGUAGAGAUCGGGAGGAACACCAAAGGCGAAAGCACUCUGCUGGGCCACAACUGACACUGAGAGACGAAAGCGAGGGGAGUAAAAG